CCCAGGACCCUAACAUCAUGACCUGAGCCGAAGGCAGAGGCUUUAACCCACUGAAUCAUGCAGGCACGCCUCUACGUGGAAUUUUUAAGUGAAGCUUUAUGGCUGGUGACAAAAAUGCAGCCCAGCAUCCAUGCCUCAGGUGGGAGCUUCCAUGAAGAGACAUCUAGAGUCUCCAAAUGCUGAACAAAUACUCAUGGAAAAGAACUUGGAAAUGGUCCAUCUGAACACGGUUCAGGUCAGAUUUUAAGUAAUCUCUGUACCUGAUGUGGGACUCGAAGUCACAAUCCUGAGAUCAAGAUCACAAUCCUGAGCUCAAGAUCACGAUCCUGAAAUCAAGCAUGCUCUACUGAUUGACCAAGCCAAGUGACCCUCGUAUGUUUAGAUAUAGACCCAUUUAUGUAUUUUAUUUAAAAUUUCAUUUACUGGUAGAUCUUGUAAUUGUAGAUCUCCAUCCCAAAGAAAAGUGAUGUGACUAUAUAACAAUAGCAAAUUCCUUCUUUUAAAAACUUCUC